GGGUUUGUUAGUGUAUGUAUUCGUGAAUAUAUGUGCGUAUAUUCUUCUUCGUGAAGCCGCAAGAGAGAAAGGAAGUAGAAGAAAACUUGAGCAAGAAAACCCUAAGCCGAUAAGAGUGGGAUCGCAGCCACCGUUGUUAAGUUUUCCAAAGACUUUGUCCUGUUAUUGUUGUUGAUGUGAAUCUCGAGGAAAAGACGUGAGGUUUCACGUGGGAAACGUGAUGGAGGAGGUGGUGAUCUGUCACCCGAAAAUGAAGAAAAAGGGAGGCGAAGGAAAGUGGAGAGAAAGAGGAGAAGAGAGAGAGGCCACCGGAUCUAAACCGUAGAACCACCACAGCCACCGUUUAUCACCGCCGUGUGAAUCGUCUUCACCGGAAAGAUCUGUGCUACCUAGUCCUCCACUGCGCCGCUCAUCCCGCCAAGUCAAACUGUUGAACUUUUGAUGUGGUGUUCUCUUCACCACCUUAACUCUCAGUUUCUCCCUGUUUUGUUUUGAGAAACAAGAACACGUUUAUGAACUUUUAAUGUCUACAUUGAUAUUUCGGAUCAAAGGAUUCUUUUCUCAUCACACUUACAAGCAUACUUUACUUCUACUUACUACAUACACAUACACACACUUGCAUUUGGACCUUACUCCUAGUUCUAGACUCUCUUACACAAGCAAUGUUAAAUUACUAACCCUUACACAACAACAACUCUUAACCACUACACUUGACAACUCUAGUAAGUUAGUCCUUAACUAACACAACACACUUACUCAUUUGGGCCUAACAAAACAUUUAGCCCAAUCACUUAUUCUUACAAAAACAACACAAGCCCAACUUCUCUCUUCUUGUGUUGACUUUCCUCUUUGUCGUUGAGAUCUUUGUCGACAUCUUCUUCUCUUUGCUCUGUUCUCUUCUUCUUCUUCUUCUCACUAAAGCUUUCUCCUUUGUUGCAGAUUUAAUCAAGAACUCAAUCUCAACACAAACCGUCGAAGAAGUUGCAGAGAGCCCAAGAUUGUUGCUCAUGCGGGUUCAUGAUGUUUCUAGUGUUUAACCGAGAAAUCAAUUGGAUUGGCUAAGGUUGGUAAGUCAAGAGUUCGUUUUCCGUUGUUAAUUGACGGAUUUGCAUUUAAAGAUGAUUUGGGCCGGGCAAGAAAGUCAACACGUUGACCAGCUCCGUGUAGCGGGUUCGGGUCCUUUCACUUUCACUACGCCGCUUCAUCUCAGACGGCUGUACCUUGCCAGAGCUGCCAGAAAACUCCUCUUUCUCGGAAGUCGCAGCGGUCACGGGACUUGGAGAAAGAUAAAUGAUAUCAUCUUCUUCAUAUCCAGAACGUGUCUCCAAUGGCUUGAGAAGCUUAUUUGCCAUCAGAAUUUUCAAACUUCGAUUUUGGUUAUGUGUGUAAUGAAAGCGUGGGGUUUGUGUAAGGCAACUGCACGAAUUUAUAAAGAGCUUGUUGUUUGAUUGUAGAUAUAUAAUGGCCAUUUGCCACUAGUGUAUAUAUUGCUUACUUAUUUUUCCA